AGAAGCCACUAUGUAUGGAGAAGAAUAAACUGGGCUUCACAGUUUCCCACAACUGCUGAUAAUGGUGAAAUACUAAUGUCUUUUCAAGAAAGGAAAAAAAUGCUGAUAAUCUCAUAAAAGGAAGACUUAGCAGUCAUUCAAAUAAUGAGGGAAGUUUUGGAACGAGAACUUCCACUGGCACCUUCUUGGAUGACUCCGCCCCUGCUAUCAGCAUUUAGCCAACAGAGAUGAACUCGAAAUGGAAAGAACAAAGUCAAGGCAGUGACGGAUGAUGAGCAUGGUUUUCUCAAAAAGGCUUUGCUUUCAUUCCCGGUGUGAAGAAAAGAAAAUGACUGUACAGUGAGAUGAGCCCUUCAACAGGUCACACGACGGUACUGCCGCUGCUCUCUGAAGCUGCAGUUGAAGGCACCAGGCGCUGUAGCUAUUAUGUUUUGAGCACUGGUAUUCUCACAAUCUAGUCUAGGAGAUAAUGAGUCUCUAUCUCUAUACUUGCCUUGGCCUAAUGAAAGCAAAGCGAAGACAGGAACUUUCCAAUCCCCUGAAUAGUUAUUGUUUCCCCAAAGCCAAUAUUCUCACUGAAGAGUGACGGGAUGUUAAUUGGAGAAUCAUGUUUUAUAUUUGCACUAGAUUUUGAGUGCCUUUUCUGUUCCAUUGUUUUAUGUGAUGCUGGGCGUUUGCUUAAGAAUGAUCCCAUCCUUCUGACAGCUGAGCAUCCUUACCUCUCUCUCCUUGCAUCACGCAACAACAAGCUCUGACACUUGGUGCUCUGAGAGCAGGAAGAAAGACGUUCACCAGACUGCAAGCUCAACGUGAUCAGAGACGGUGGCCUUUGUACCUCUAGCACCUCCCAAAAAAUAGGUGCUUAAUAAAUACGCUUAAGUAAAUGGAAGGAAGAGCUAUGCAGACAACUGCUUCUUUAGCACUGGGUGACAACUCCGAGAAGAUUUGGAGCGGAAUAACCACAUGGAACGUUACUUAUGUCGUUUCCAAAGGAGACUUGCUGAAGGUCCUUUGAUUUGAAGCUGUAUGACUUCAGGAAAUUGAUGUUUGGCCAGGAAUUUAAAGAUUGCUUUCUUUAUUGGGACUAUGAUCAUUGAAAGAAUGUUAUAUUUACAUUUGGGAAAUCUCUAAGUUGUUGGAAUUGUGCUAGUGGGAUUUCUAUGCAUUUCAUUAUUGGAUAUCGUUUGAUCUCUGAAAGACUAUGUUGGAUAACCCCGG
rnacentral:lncRNA from 1 species